rnacentral:misc_RNA from 1 species
AACGCACAUUGCGCCCCCUGGUAUUCCGGGGGGCAUGCCUGUCCGAGCGUCAUUACACCCCUCAAGCCCCGCUUGGUGUUGGGCCAUGCCACCCGGCAAGCCUUAAAUCUAGUAGCGAUCCCGUCCCGGGCCCCCGCGCAGUAGCGAUCCUCGCGCGGGCCCGGACGGGUGUCGGCCAGCAACCACUCUCCUUGUUGACCUCGGAUCAGGUAGGAUUACCCGCUGAACUUAA